CGGAUUUUACUGGAUAUCCUCAUAACGGACUCAUAAUCCGUUGGUGCUCGGUUCGACUCCGAGGGGGCCUACCA
rnacentral:tRNA from 1 species